UUUUUUAACCAGGUUUUCAAUUUUGAAAAUCCUGGUUAUUAGAUUGGGGUAUGGCGGGCGGAUGGGCGGAUGGGCGGGCGGGCGUCAAACGAAAUUGUGUCCGCUCUGUAACUCUUCAACCCUUUGAAGAAUUUUGAUGAAACUUCAGACAAAUGUUUACCACAUCAAGAUGACGUGCAGAACGCAUGUUCCGCAUGGCUGGCUCCAAGGUCAAGGUCACAGUGACAUUAACAUUGAAAAUCCUGUUUACAUGAUUUUAACUUCGGGCGUCAAACGAAAUUGUGUCCGCUCUGUAACUCUUCAACCCUUUGAAGAAUUUUGAUGAAACUUCAGACAAAUGUUUACCACAUCAAGAUGACGUGCAGAACGCAUGUUCCGCAUGGCUGGCUCCAAGGUCAAGGUCACAGUGACAUUAACAUUGAAAAUCCUGUCCGCUCUGUAACUCUUCAACCCUUUGAAGAAUUUUGAUGAAACUUCAGACAAAUGUUUACCACAUCAAGAUGAUGUGCAGAACGCAUGUUCCGCAUGGCUGGCUCCAAGGUCAAGGUCACAGUGACAUUAACAUUGAAAAUCCUGUUUACAUGAUUUUAACUUCGGCCGUCAAACGAAAUUGUGUCCGCUCUGUAACUCUUCAACCCUUUGAAGAAUUUUGAUGAAACUUCAGACAAAUGUUUACCACAUCAAGAUGACGUGCAGAACGCAUGUUCCGCAUGGCUGGCUCCAAGGUCAAGGUCACAGUGACAUUAACAUUGAAAAUCCUGUCCGCUCUGUAACUCUUCAACCCUUUGAAGAAUUUUGAUGAAACUUCAGACAAAUGUUUACCACAUCAAGAUGACGUGCAGAACGCAUGUUCCGCAUGGCUGGCUCCAAGGUCAAGGUCACAGUGACAUUAACAUUGAAAAUCCUGUUUACAUGAUUUUAACUUCGGGCGUCAAACGAAAUUGUGUCCGCUCUGUAACUCUUCAACCCUUUGAAGAAUUUUGAUGAAACUUCAGACAAAUGUUUACCACAUCAAGAUGACGUGCAGAACGCAUGUUCCGCAUGGCUGGCUCCAAGGUCAAGGUCACAGUGACAUUAACAUUGAAAAUCCUGUCCGCUCUGUAACUCUUCAACCCUUUGAAGAAUUUUGAUGAAACUUCAGACAAAUGUUUACCACAUCAAGAUGACGUGCAGAACGCAUGUUCCGCAUGGCUGGCUCCAAGGUCAAGGUCACAGUGACAUUAACAUUGAAAAUCCUGUUUACAUGAUUUUAACUUCGGCCGUCAAACGAAAUUGUGUCCGCUCUGUAACUCUUCAACCCUUUGAAGAAUUUUGAUGAAACUUCAGACAAAUGUUUACCACAUCAAGAUGACGUGCAGAACGCAUGUUCCGCAUGGCUGGCUCCAAGGUCAAGGUCACAGUGACAUUAACAUUGAAAAUCCUGUCCGCUCUGUAACUCUUCAACCCUUUGAAGAAUUUUGAUGAAACUUCAGACAAAUGUUUACCACAUCAAGAUGACGUGCAGAACGCAUGUUCCGCAUGGCUGGCUACAAGGUCAAGGUCACAGUGACAUUAACAUUGAAAAUCCUGUUUACAUGAUUUUAACUUCGGGCGUCAAACGAAAUUGUGUCCGCUCUGUAACUCUUCAACCCUUUGAAGAAUUUUGAUGAAACUUCAGACAAAUGUUUACCACAUCAAGAUGACGUGCAGAACGCAUGUUCCGCAUGGCUGGCUCCAAGGUCAAGGUCACAGUGACAUUAACA